rnacentral:rRNA from 1 species
GAGGAAUAUUGGUCAAUGGACGGAAGUCUGAACCAGCCAAGUAGCGUGCAGGAUGACGGCCCUAUGGGUUGUAAACUGCUUUUGUAUGGGGAUAAAGUUAGGGACGUGUCCCUAUUUGCAGGUACCAUACGAAUAAGGACCGGCUAAUUCCGUGCCAGCAGCCGCGGUAAUACGGAAGGUCCAGGCGUUAUCCGGAUUUAUUGGGUUUAAAGGGAGCGUAGGCUGGAGAUUAAGUGUGUUGUGAAAUGUAGACGCUCAACGUCCGAAUUGCAGCGCAUACUGGUUUCCUUGAGUACGCACAACGUUGGCGGAAUUCGUCGUGUAGCGGUGAAAUGCUUAGAUAUGACGAAGAACUCCGAUUGCGAAGGCAGCUGACGGGAGCGCAACUGACGCUUAAGCUCGAAGGUGCGGGUAUCAAACAGGAUUAGAUACCCUGGUAGUCCGCACAGUAAACGAUGGAUGCCCGCUGUUGGUACCUGGUAUCAGCGGCUAAGCGAAAGCAUUAAGCAUCCCACCUGGGGAGUACGCCGGCAACGGUG